GAUGAACGCUGGCGGCGUGCCUAAUACAUGCAAGUCGAGCGAACGGACGAGAAGCUUGCUUCUCUGAUGUUAGCGGCGGACGGGUGAGUAACACGUGGAUAACCUACCUAUAAGACUGGGAUAACUUCGGGAAACCGGAGCUAAUACCGGAUAAUAUUUUGAACCGCAUGGUUCAAAAGUGAAAGACGGUCUUGCUGUCACUUAUAGAUGGAUCCGCGCUGCAGUAGCUAGUUGGUAAGGUAACGGCUUACCAAGGCAACGAUGCAUAGCCGACCUGAGAGGGUGAUCGGCCACACUGGAACUGAGACACGGUCCAGACGCCUACGGGAGGCAGCAGUAGGGAAUCUUCCGCAAUGGGCGAAAGCCUGACGGAGCAACGCCGCGUGAGUGAUGAAGGUCUUCGGAUCGUAAAACUCUGUUAUUAGGGAAGAACAUAUGUGUAAGUAACUGUGCACAUCUUGACGGUACCUAAUCAGAAAGCCACGGCUAACUACGUG
rnacentral:rRNA from 1 species